rnacentral:rRNA from 1 species
CUACGGGGUGCAGCAGUGGGGAAUAUUGGACAAUGGGGGAAACCCUGAUCCAGCAAUGCCGCGUGUGUGAAGAAGGCCUGCGGGUUGUAAAGCACUUUCGGUUGGGAGGACCGCUUCUAGCACUAAUAUUGUUGGAAGUUGACGUUACCUUCAGAAGAAGCACCGGCUAACUCCGUGCCAGCAGCCGCGGUAGAUAGCGGAGGGUGCAAGCGUUAAUCGGAAUUACUGGGCGUAAAGCGCGCGUAGGCGGCUAGAUCAGUCGGGUGUGAAAGCCCCGGGCUUAACCUGGGAACUGCAUCCGAUACUGUCUAGCUUGAGUACAGGAGAGGAGAGUGGAAUUCCACAUGUAGCGGUGAAAUGCGUAGAUAUGUGGAGGAACACCAAUGGCGAAGGCAGCUCUCUGGCCUGAUACUGACGCUGAGGUGCGAAAGCGUGGGGAGCAAACAGGAUUAGAUACCCUCGUAGUC